UGUCUCCUCUAUGUCUCCUCCUUUGAUAUAGAUUCAGCCCGCCUCCUUUGAGCGGGCUUUUUUUU
rnacentral:ncRNA from 19 species